AAUGCAACCAAUUCAAAUAUUUAGGUUUUUAUCAUCUAGAAAAAUGGAGUAAUAAAAUCAUAAGAUUAAAACAUAAUGACUAAAACGGAGGAGUGUGACAGGAAUGCUAGUAUGCUAUGCGACCAUAUGAUCCUUGAUAAAAUGAAAGGUAAGUUCUGUAAAAUUAUGGCCAAUCCAGCUAUGUUGUAUGAGGGUGAACGUUAUUCAUCCAAAGUAUAACAUAUCUACAAGAUGAGUGUUGUAAAAAUGCUAAUAUUAAGAUAGAUGUCCGAUAACAUGAUAAUUAAUAUGAUUAGAAAAGACCACAUCUGCCAAAGAGUGCAUCUAGCAAACAUUGGAUAUAAGAUGAGAGGGUUAAUUAAAAAUAGUAUAUGAUCAUGUCAAAAAAGAGCAUUGAACGACCUAGUAUAAAAGUGUGAUAAAUUAAUAGUAAAAAGAGUAAGAAGGGAAAUGAGAAGACUUAAAAUGACGUAGAGGUAAGUAAUAUAAAAGAUUUAUAAUUUUUAAAUAUUAAUGUGAAUUUACAAACAUAACUAAAUGAGGAAAAGGAUUCAUAUAGG
rnacentral:misc_RNA from 1 species